UCACAAUUAUGUGUUCAGAUGUUUUUUCCAUUGUGUUGAUGACAACUAUACAAUUAAAGAUAAGCCCUAAUACAGCUUAUAUUUCUCUUUCUUAAACUAAAAAUAAAAUACUCCAGAAUAAAAGGAAGAUCUUGAUUUAAUAAAGAAGAAGCAGAAGCACAUCUUCAACGCACGCCUGUAGGGAAGAACUUGGUCCAGGAUGAGGCUGAGAUGAGUGAAUCAUUUGCCUAAGGAAGAAGAGUUACAGGGACACCAAAAAAGCUCAGUAAGUAAGGAUCAUUUCCCAAAUAAAUUCCUCAGACUGGAAUAUCUACCUCAAGAUAUAGUUCUGAGAAAUCUACACUAAGCCAUAAAUCUAAUUGGUACUUAUAAUAACACAGAUAUAUUUUCUAAGUGUGGAAAUAUGGGAAGAAUACAUCAUUAUAAGGUUUGUCUACGAUUUCUAUAAAAUGUUCUGAAUUUU
rnacentral:lncRNA from 1 species